rnacentral:rRNA from 1 species
GACGAACGCUGGCGGCGUGCUUAACACAUGCAAGUCGAACGAAGUGGCGAACGGGUGAGUAACGCGUAAUCAACCUGCCCUUCAGCGGGGGACAACAGUUGGAAACGACUGCUAAUACCGCAUACUGAAGGAGGGGCAUGCGUCUGAUUAGUUAGUUGGGGGGGUAACGGCCAACCAAGGCGAUGAUCAGUAGCCGGGCUGAGAGGAUGAACGGCCCCAUUGGGACUGAGACACGGCCCAGACUCCUACGGGUGGCAGCAGUUGGGAAUCUUCCGCAAUGGACGAAAGUCUGACGGAGGAACGCCGCGUUAGUGAUGACGGCCUUCGGGUUGUAAAGCUCUGUUAGUCGGGACGCGGUACCGGAAUAGAAAGCCACGGCUAACUACGUGCCAGCAGCCGCGGUAAUUC